rnacentral:rRNA from 1 species
AUUGACCUCGGAUCAGGUAGGGAUACCCGCUGAACUUAAGCAUAUCAAUAAGCGGAGGAAAAGAAACCAACAGGGAUUGCCUCAGUAACGGCGAGUGAAGCGGCAUCAGCUCAAAUUUGAAAUCUGGCCCUUUCGGGGUCCGAGUUGUAAUUUGUAGAGAGUGCUUCGGGUGAGACCGCGGUCUAAGUCCAUUGGAACAUGGCGUCAUAGAGGGUGAGAAUCCCGUAUGUGACUGUGGUUCGAACCCGUGUGAAGCCUCUUCGACGAGUCGAGUUGUUUGGGAAUGCAGCUCAAAAUGGGUGGUAAAUUUCAUCUAAAGCUAAAUACUGGCUGGAGACCGAUAGCGCACAAGUAGAGUGAUCGAAAGAUGAAAAGCACUUUGGAAAGAGAGUCAAACAGUACGUGAAAUUGUUGAAA